GACGAACGCUGGCGGCGUGCUUAACACAUGCAAGUCGAACGGAAAGGCCAUGCUCUUGCGCGGCGCUCGAGUGGCGCACGGGUGAGUAACACGCGUGUAACCUGCCCCUGUCUUUCGGGUAACUCUAGGAAACUGGGGCUAUUACCGGAUAGGAGAUCUUGCAGCAUGGUGGGGGAUGGAAAGAUUCGGCGGUUGUGGCUGGACUCGCGGCUUAUCAGCUUGUUGGUGGGGUAGUUGCUGACAAAGCUUGUGACGGCUAGCCCGCCUGAGAGGGUGGCCGGCCACAUGGGGACUGAGAUACGGAGCAGACUGCAACGGGCGGCAGCAGGGGAGAGUAUUGCAGAGCGAGCGGACGUCUGAGACAGCGACGCCGCGAGCGUAAUGACCGGCUUCGGGGUAUAAACCGAUGUGGCCUGUAACAAACCGUGAGUGACGGUAAUUGAUAAGGAAGCACCGGCUAACUACGUG
rnacentral:rRNA from 1 species